AAGCGGACCUCAUAAAGUGCGUCGUAGUCCGGAUUGGAGUCUGCAACUCGACUCCAUGAAGUCGGAAUCGCUAGUAAUCGUGGAUCAGAAUGCCACGGUGAAUACGUUCCCGGGCCUUGUACACACCGCCCGUCACACCAUGGGAGUGGGUUGCAAAAGAAGUAGGUAGCUUAACCUUCGGGGGGGCGCUUACCACUUUGUGAUUCAUGACUGGGGUGAAGUCGUAACAAGGUAACCGUAGGGGAACCUGCGGUUGGAUCACCUCCUUA
rnacentral:rRNA from 3 species